rnacentral:lncRNA from 1 species
CCUUCAUCUAUUAUGUAUAUAUUAGCCAAACUAGUUUUCUCUUUCGUCUUCUCCUACCAGUUUAUAUAAGGAGUGUUGGUGUUGGUUACACCUAUAGUUCAGUCUUUAAACUACAGGAUAUCAGAUAGGAUUGUGAUUGAGCUGAAAAAAAAAAAAAAGAAUAUCCAGAGAUGGGUACAGUGAUGUUUGGGUUUUCAUGCCUUGCCUUUUGAGGAAGAGGGUGAGUACAUCUUCAUCAGACUGAGGGAUAGUUGCAACAGGUAGAGUAACUAAGGACAGCUAUGAAAUCUGCAAAGGAAACUAGAAGAGACCAGCAGGACAAAGAGGCAGCAUGAGGAGCCACUGUGAGCUAGUAUGCGUGCUUGCAUUUCAGUAACGGUUGUGGAAUUUCCCUUCUGCUCCUACGUUGCUAAGAGUUUUUACCAUGAGUGGAUGUGUCAUCCUGUCAAGAUAAGUUUUUUUCUUUUUCUGUUGAGAUAAUUGCAUAGUUUCCUACUUUUUAUCUGUUUACGUAUGAACAAGUAAAACUAUCUCUUUGUAGAUGUAUCUUUUAUAUAAAAAUUCCUACAGAUUCUAUGGAAAACUAUUAGGACUAAUAUUUGUACAGUGACUGGCUGGACUACUUUAGUGAAUUCUAUUUACUCUGCAGUGGAAGCUUCUGAUGUUGCUGUUCAAAAUGUGCAGCCUUAGGGUGUGCACGGUCACCCUGGGGUGGCAGUGGUUUCAGCAAGGUUCUCUUUGCCUCUCUCUUUCCCUGAUUGUGCCCAGCUGUUAAGCUCCACUAAAUUCUGGAUGAUUGUGCUUUUGUUUUUGGCAAUACCUGGAGAAUCCAUUGCUAGACAGACUGAUCCAAUUAAAUUUGGGCUCCUUUGAGGAGGUAGUUUUUGAGGUCAAUGUUUGAGGUUUGUUCUGACCCUAACAGGGCUCUUCUUAGGGCUCUUUUCCUGCUUCUUACUGGUAAACUAAUUGGCUUAUGGUUUAGCUUGUACCUUUCAUGAAGAUACCAGUCUCUUCUUAAUUGGUUAGUACCAACAUCACCACUGCUUUUGAGAACACUUUUAGGCUUUAACUUUCUCGUACUCUGUUCCAAAAAGGUCGGUUGAUUUGAGGAGGUUUUUAGAGUUUUCAUUUUUAUGGCUGCUGCUCCUUCUAGGCAAAAUUUCUGAGCCCUGGCUCUGGGUCUGGGGGCAGGGACAGCUGCUCACUUCUCUCACAGUCCUGCAUUAAGAGCAUGGUUCUGGGUGAGUAGGGUAGCCUCUAUAUUCUUGGAUUGCCUCUCCAAGGAAUUGGUCCCUCACCCUACAAAUGAGUGGGAUGUUGGUUUAAGAAGGAAUCCCCUCUCGGUUGCACUCAUUUGGAAUUCAGUCUCUUUAACAUAUAUGUGGAUGCCAUGAAAAAUGCUAGUGGCCUGUCCUUCCUGGGAAGAUACUUGUCUUAGUUCAUUUAGGCUGCUAUACAAAAUACCACAGUCUGAGGAGCUUGUAAAUAACAGAAAAUUAUUUCUCACAGUAAUGGAGGCUGGAAGUCAAGACCAGGGUUCCCGAAUGAUCAGGUAGAAUGCCAGCAGAUGUGAAAUGAACAGUGCUACAGCCUUCCAGCAGUCCUAGCACAAGGAAUAGAUAAGCCACUGAGUAUCAGGGUUGUUUGUUAUGCAGCAUUGUUGCAGCAACAGCUGAUGAAUACACUUGACCUAAGGUUUGUAGGAAAAUGACCAAGAGGUCUUUAAAUGUGCUUGCAUGGUUUGUCUUUGUCUUUUGUAUUCCUCUCAUCUCCCAUGAGAUGUCCUAUAGCCACUCAUCCCAGGAGAAUGCAGACACAAGUGGAGCAGAUCUGAAUCCAACUUGCAGCCUGGAAAAGUCCACCCAAUCUCAACUCAGCCCGGCAGAGAUGCAAACUACCAGCAGAACUGUACACAGGAAAUUAAUGUUUGUUUCAAGCUGAUGAGUGUUGGAACUGCCUAGCAUUCACCCUUAUUUCAACCAUAGCUGGAUAGAGCACUGUUUGUCUUGUAAAGGGAUAAACCACUUCAUAAACAUUUUCUGGGAGUAAUCCUGUAACAGGAGGCUCAGACCUGGGAGAGAGAUAGAUGUGUCUCCCAGCUUCAGGAACAAGUGCCUAGGACAUCCCACACAGGGUGAGAGAGAGAACUAUCAUCUUGUGAAUGAAAUCUCUCAGCCACCAAAGACCUGAGAUAAAAAGACAGGUAAGUUUUGUUUGAAGAGAUAAUCUGAGAACUGUUUGGAUCCUGGAGCUGGGCUGACAAAAUGGUCUUUAGCAUUAAGGAAUG